rnacentral:lncRNA from 10 species
UAAAAAUACAAAAAUUAGCCGGGCAUGGUGGCAGGCGCCUGUGGCCCCAGCUACUCAAGAGGCUGAGGCAGGAGAAUUGCUUGAACUCAGGAGGCCGAGGUUCCAGUGGGCAGAGAUCACGACACUGCACUCCAGCCUGGGUGAUAGUGGGAGACUCCACACCCUGAAAAGAAAGAAAAAAGGCCGGGCGCAGUGGCUCAUGCCUGUAAUCUCAGCACUUUGGGAGACCGAGGAGGGCGGAUCACAAUGUCAGGAGUUAAGACAACAGCCUGGCCAGCAUGGUGAAGCCCCGUCUCUACUAAAAAUACACAAAUUAGCUGGGCAUGGUGGCGCGCCUGUAGUCCCAGCUACUCGGGAGGCUAAGGUAGGAGAAUCGCUUGUCCCCGGGAGGCAGAGGUUGCAAUGCGCCUAGAUCGCGCCACUGCACUCCAACCUGGACGACAGAGCGAGACUCCAUCUCAAAAAAAAAAAAAAAAGAAAAAGAAGAUAAUUGAAACAAUUACCCUCCCAGGUAGAAAGUCCCUGCUGAUGGGGUGCAUCUGUUCAGCAGCGGUGUUGAGAGCUCAAGCUCUUUUUAACGCUUUGCC